rnacentral:rRNA from 1 species
UACGGAGGAUCCGAGCGUUAUCCGGAUUUAUUGGGUUUAAAGGGUGCGUAGGCGGUUUGAUAAGUUCGAGGUGAAAUGUCGGGGCUCAACCCCGAAACUGCCUCUAAUACUGUUGGACUAGAGAAUAGUUGCGGUAGGCGGAAUGUAUGGUGUAGCGGUGAAAUGCUUAGAGAUCAUACAGAACACCGAUUGCGAAGGCAGCUUACCAAACUAUAUCUGACGUUGAGGCACGAAAGCGUGGGUAGCAAACAGG